rfam:Shewanella putrefaciens 200, complete genome.
CCAUCUGUAUCACCAGAUGACCCUAAGACUCUGAAUAAAGCAGCGAGUCUGACAAUGUAACGAUAUUUGGCUUUAUGCCGAAUGGGAACAGAACCGUGAGAGGACGUUCUUCCUGAUAACCACAAUCGGGUAAGUGC